rnacentral:rRNA from 1 species
AGAGUUUGAUCAUGGCUCAGCCUGAACGCUGGCGGCGUGGUUAAGACAUGCAAGUCGCACGGUGUAGCAAUACACAGUGGCGAACGGGUGAGUAAUGAAUCGCUAAUGUACCCCGGACUCUGGGAUAGCUAGCCGAAAGGUUAGGUAAUACCAGAUGACAUAUUCCUACCGCAUGGUCGGGAAUCUCAAAGGUCCGCCGGUCUGGGAGCAGGCGAUUUCGUAUCAGCUAGUUGGUGAGGUAACGGCUCACCAAGGCGACGACGCGUAGCCGGACUGAGAGGUUGGCCGGCCACAUCGGGACUGAGACACUGCCCGGACUCCUACGGGGGGCUGCAGUAACGAAUCUUCCCCAAUGCACGAAAGUGUGAGGGAGCGACGCCGCGUGUGGGACGAAGUCCUUCGGGAUGUAAACCACUGUCAGGGGAUACCAAGUUCUGAGGAUCCCCAGAGGAAGAGGCGGCUAACUCUGUGCCAGCAGCCGCGGUAAGACAGAGGCCUCAAGCGUUAGGCGGAAUCACUGGGCUUAAAGCGUGUGUAGGCGGGUCGUUAAGUACCUUGUGAAAUCCCACGGCUCACCCGUGGAACUGCUGGGUAUACUGGCGAUCUUGGGCCAACUAGGGGCAACUGGAACAAACGGUGGAGCGGUGAAAUGCGUAGAUAUCGUUUGGAACGCCAAAGGUGAAAACAGGUUGCUGGGGUUGUGCCGACGCUGAGACACGAAAGCCAGGGGAGCAAACGGGAUUAGAUACCCCAGUAGUCC